AUAGCUCUGUCUUCCCGGGGGCAGACUCGUCAUCCCUGCGCAGUGCCACCCGAGGUACUGAGCUCAUCAGAAAGUCAAUGAGGCUGCUUUAUUCAUCUCUGGCACAAAGUUUCUCUCUCUGGGUGGAGCAGUGCAUAACUUAGCAACCCUCAGAAUGGCUUGCGUAGAAUCAGAUGUUCAGCCAGGAGGGCCUUACAAUUUACCUGGACCGACCCUUCAUUUUACAGAUGGAUGAAGCGAGACCCAGGAGAGGAACAGUUUGCAGAAGAGCACCAGGAGCCGGCUGCUGGACAUGGCUCGAACCCUGCACCGGAGCAGUUGUUCUCCUCUUGGCAAAGCUGCUGAACUCAUCUGAGAAACGAAUGAAACACUCAGGGCCCUGUCAAUUUUCCCUCCGUUGUUAAGGAAACAAUUUCCAAAGCUCCAAGAGUUUCCGAUCCAACCCUUCCACAGGCAGCUCCUGUUAAGCCCUCGUUUCUGUAUCCACCACAGCUAUUUGGUGAAAUCCCCAACAAUCCCAAGUGGUUUAGUAGCUAUCAUCACAGCAAGAAAUGUUUUGAAAAUGUUUAUAAUCUCAAAGGGUUUGACCCAAAAUUCAUCACCUAGAAUAUCCUAAGGAGCAAAAGCUGGAAAAGCUUUAGGAAGGAAGAAGUCCACUGUGGUAUUAUUUACCAUAGUGGAAAACUGGAAAUAACUUAAACGUCUAACGUAACAUAGACUACUAAGUGGAAAAAUGGCCCCUGUAAGGAUCUAGGUCAGGGGGCGGUCAAUACACAAGCCCAAGACCCAGUCAAGUCCUCUUCCACCUACAAAGACUCAGGAAGAAGUGGAGCACAAAUGGACCCAGUUGGAGGACCAGAGGGCCCUUCCAGAGCACUUCAGAUGCUGCUCCCAGGUUCUGUGCAGAGGCUGGAGGCUUGCCCCAUGCCAUCACAGGGCUGAGCCAGAGCACAGGAAGAGGACCUGUGUCUCUGGAGUUGGGGGAAAACUAAGACUGGAGCCUGUGAUGGAUUCACCCACAUGGGCACACGACACUGUGGGCAUGGUGAGCCACACAGGUGAGCACCACAAAGAUUCCUGCAUGCCCGUUGCUGGCCACACUCCCCAGUCUGGCCCACACUCCAGAGGCAGCUACUGUGUAAACAGAGGUCACCUCCGAACACCACUAAUUAGCGUGAUGAAAACCUGAAGUGGGGUGUACUAUAUGAAAUAGGUAGUAUUCAGUUACGUGGAUUGGCCAAAAUCUUCAAGAGACUCUCCUCACGUGAGCAGGGCAUGGGGUUAGGGAGCCAGAGCCUGUCCCUUCAAAGGCACGUGGGACUGGGUCCUACAGGGGCCUGCAGCCAGCACUUGGUUUGAAGGAAUCAUUUGAUGCUGACACUCCAGUCACUGAAACUGGCCUCUUUGGUACCAUCAUAAAUGAACCUUCCCUACAAAGGCAAAGGGCUGGCCUGACCACCCAGCAGCAGAGCUGCCAAGGAAGAGCAGCCCUCGCCUCUGGUGGCUGAAAUGACCCACCACACAGCCCCAGGGUCCAGUUGGUCUCGACUGGUUCCAGACACUGAGCUCAACUGGGAAAACCAAGGGGAACACUUCAGGAAAGAUGACUGAAGAGCAGGAGCUCAGGGAGGGCAGAGACCAAGGCCACCAGGUGGACGCCAUGGGUCAUGGUAAAGGACACCGUGCCCAGGAAGCCGGGCUGCUGAAGUGAGGUACCUCUGAGGGAGGUGGGUUCUUAUGGGGCAAACUGUUGGUGUGGGAAUGGAGGGUCAGUUGCUGGGGGCAAGCAGGAUUGGGCCGGAAGUUUUUUGCUGGAAAACUGUGUGGGUGGGUUCUUCCAGGCUCCUCCUCAGGAACUGUCCCUGGACAACUGCCAUCUAACCCUGCCUUCUCCUGCCUCCUUUCCCUGGCCAACUGGAGAGGCUGAGGCAGCAGGGUGAGGGCGGGAGUGGAACAAGGAGUGGGGAGCCAGUGGAGAGCGAGCCACCUUCUCCCAGCUCCCCACCUGCUGCUGAGGCCCAGCGGGAGGUAGGAGAAAGCUCUCUGUUGGGUGAGAGUCUAAAGAUGUGAUGUGGCACUGCAGAGUCUCCACCUAAAAUGGAGAUAGUUAUUAAUACCUACAUGUGAUGUGCCUGGCGUUUCACCCAGGAAAAUGGAAAAAUAAUUCAUCAGAGUGGGCUCACAGGGUAACAAUGAGAGGAAAUCAGUUUACUCAUGUUGUGUCCAGCUGAAUCCACUUGUCAGUCAUCUACCAUUUCUACUCCUGAAUGAAAGUGACUUGGCAUUUGUACUGUAAAAAUUUCCAAACUCUUCCUUAUACCUUAUUAAGUAGAAUAAUAAUUUGACUUAUUAUUGGGUGGUGA